UAAAAGGAAGGAAAGAAAAGAAAAGAGGCCAUUUCAAGCAAUGGGAGUCGUCGGCCUAGAGAGAGAAGGAGAGAGAGUGAGCGUGAGAUAGAGAGUGAAAGAGAGAAGAAAAGAAGGAGGAGAAGAAGAAGAGGAGGAAGGAUACAAUCCUAGGGGCUUGAACAAGUGGUGGCUAUAAUUUUUGGGUUGAUCUCUGUGUUAUUGAUUUUAAAAUCAAGAGAGGAAAAUAGUUAUGGCGGCGGAAGGAUUCUUGGCAGGUUGGGGUUUGUGUAUUGAGGAAGAUUGGAUUCGGUGGACUGCGUGAACGAUUUGAGGACAAUGUUAUUUUCAGUCUUUUUAAUUAUGUUUCUACGUAUUUUUCCGCACUUGGUUUUGUAAACAAUUUUAAUUUAGUUAAAGUUACAUUUUAUUUUUCAAACAAUGAGAUCCCAUACACUGAAUUUAUGUAUUUCAACAUUUACUUAGAGAUUUUAAUAAAGUUUGUGAAUAUUUCUUAUGUAUGUUUUCAUGAAAGUAGUGUCUAUGUAUAGUAGUUUUAAUGGUCCAAAGUCUUAGAAUUAUUUGGGUCAUUACAGCUUGCCCCUACCAAGGGGUGGUCAACCCCAGUAUGCCCAAGGAACCCUAGCGGUGGUCGGCCUGACCCCAACCCCUAGAGUUGUCGGCCUAACAUGCUCAAGAACCACCUGGGUGGUCGGCCCACCCUAUUCUUCAUAGGUGGUCGGCUCAAAUCCCCAAGUACACUUCACUGAGAAAUACUCACUCUCGUUCAAACUGAGAUCAACAGGCCUAGCACCCAGAAGGACACAAG